rnacentral:snoRNA from 1 species
CUGCACUCAAUUAACCUAACUGGGUUCAGACCCUUGUGGUGAGGUGGUAUGCAUGAGUGCAAACUGCAGCCUCCCCUGGAGAGUAUGCAGCCUGUUUCUUACACAGGUGAAACAAAGGCACCUGGACAGCC